rnacentral:rRNA from 1 species
CCCUUAGAUGUUCUGGGCCGCACGCGCGCUACACUGAUGCAUUCAACAAGCCUAGCCUUGACCGAGAGGUCCGGGUAAUCUUUGAAACUGCAUCGUGAUGGGGCUAGAUUAUUGCAAUUAUUAAUCUUCAACGAGGAAUGCCUAGUAAGCGUGAUUCAUCAAAUCGCGUUGAUUACGUCCCUACCCUUUGUACACACCGCCCGUCGCUCCUACCGAUUGAAUGUGUUGGUGAGGAGCUCGGAUUGGCAGCAGUUGGUGGUUCGCCACCGGCUAUUGCUGAGAAGUCCUCCAAACCGCCCCAUUUAGAGGAAGGAGAAGUCGUAACA